GGGAAGCCUGGCAUGCUGCAGUCCAUGGGGUCACAAAGAGUCAGACACAGACAUACUCAGUGACUGAACAACAAUUGCUGGAUUCAACCUCAGGACUUCAGUUGCCUUAUUCAUUCAUUCAUUCAACAAAUAUGAUGAGCCCACACUGUGUGCUGAGUGCUGGGAAUAGAGCUGUGAACAAAACAGGCAUAAUCUUGCCUUCCUGGAGCUUUUAUGCUUUUUCUUUUUUUCAGUUCUACCAGUUUAUUGCUACCAACCCAUCUCCUUUCACUCUCUUGCGUGCGUGCUCAGUCAUGUAACCCUGUGGACUGCUACCCGCCAGGCUCCUCUGUCCAUGGACUUUUCCAGGCAAGAAUACUGGAAUGGGUUAUAACAUGUGAUUAUAUAGAAAUUAUAUAUGUGAGUUGGGAAAACAGACAUUAAAUAGGAGAAGUAAGUAAAAUAGCAUGUUAAGAGAGUGGAAAAGUCCUAUGGUGAAAAAGCAAAGCAGGAGAGGUAUCAGAAUUGUUCCAACCGGGGUUGCCGCUGAUGUUUUAGGGAACGUGUCCAGGAGAGGCUGCACUGAGAAGCUGGCAUCAAGUGAAGGCCUGAAGGAAGGCUCAUCUGCCAAAUGGGGGUCUGAAUAUUUCACAAAGCUGUGAGAAGCAGGUGGGGCAACGUGUGUGGAAGGCGUGCCCACAGGGACUUCUUCUAAAAUCGCCAUCCUUAAAACUUACUCUGAACAAGUCCAAGGUUAGAGUCUCUCUGAUGGCUUUGGAAACCAUCUCCCCUGUUACCUGCUUCCGGAGGGCAGCGCUGGUCCAGAGGGCGUCUCUAUGGGAAGCCUAGCUAGUCCCUUCCUCAAUUUCCUGCCUCCCUGCCCCCUCCCCUUUCCCCCAAGAGAUGACAGUCCCCGGGGAGGCUGGAGAGAACACCCCAGGGCAGGCCCGCACGAGUGUCACUUUUCCCUUAGUUUCCGUGGCCUCAGUGACAAUGCAAAGGAAGUGAUAAUGCAGAGGCGGCUCUUUAAUGAGAGGAGGUGACAGUGGUCAUGGGAGAGUUCCCCAUGAGAAAGAAGAGGAACUGUCUGGUGGAGGCACAAGCUGAAACUGGCUUGUAACCGCAGCCUCAGAGCUGAAGCUCGUUCAAGUUGUUGUGCCUUUUAGCAAUUGUCUUGGUACUGUUCCUGGUCAUUUGAUGGACCAGACAUCCUCAGGAAUGUCCAGGCUCCACCCUCUUUUGUGCCUAGUAGGUGCUUUUCUGCACUUAAAUGUCUAACACCCGCUCGAGCUUCCUACCCCCUGAGUUCAUCUGGAUGCUGGGCUCAGCUGUUUUCAGAAACCCAUAUAGUCUGCUGCAGAGAUAACCAUGUUCCUUGCGACCUUCACUGUCUCUUUAGAAUGUUGCAGGAAUGAGGAAAGGGUGGACUGUUUACCUUUUUGACUCCUGGUGGUUCCUGGUUAUACUGAUUCAGAAUUGCAGGGCCUGCUCCCCUCAAGAAAAACAGCCCAACCUUCUGUGUUCCCUUGGUUGUUGUUUAAAAGCUGUACCGGUCACAACAUAAACCGGUCUCUGUGUGACUGCCACCCCCACAUCCAGGUCCAGACAGCAGCUGAUGCUUUCCGUCCCAAAGCAAACAUCCCAGCCCAAAGCCAGGAAGCUGAUCCCACAGGCCAAAGGAGCUGCUCUCCCCGCAGCUGGCGAGUCACUGGAGGCUUGAUCGGGUGAGAGUUGCGGAGAAGAGCCAUCCAAGGAUCUGAUCCCUGAAAAAGACUUCCUGCUUGUAGCCACUCUGAAGGCACUGCGCACACACCGGUUGCAGGGGCUGUCAUCCAUUUCCCUGUCAGCAAAGUGGCUGGACUGGUAACCAGCCCUUCUUGGGAAGGACUGGAGAGGCAGGCAGGGUGGAGGAAGUCUCCAACUUCACCCCUGUCCUGGGCUCACUCUCAAGGCCCCUCUGUGAGUGAAGCUGGCUGGCAGGAAGGGGGAAGGAGCUGGGGGACCGGAUGUGGUUACUCUGCAAGACCCUGUUCUGCUACAGGAUCAAAAAAAUGAUUGUAAAACACACUCGUGUUACAGUGCAACAGACCUGUAGCUAUGAAAGUUGUGUGUGUGUGCAUGUAGGUGUUUUCCUGGGUAUUAUUAUGUGGGCCCUGUGGUCAAUGACCAUUUAGUGUGAUCAGUAGUUUAUCAAGAAAGAGAGUCAUAUCUCAGUUGUACUUUUUUGUUGGGGCUACCAGAACAAAUUAUUACGGACUUAGGGGUUAGAUGGACUUUGGUGCUAGAAAAGAUUCUUGAGAGUCCCUUGGACAGCAAAGAGAUCAAACCAGUCAAUCC
rnacentral:lncRNA from 1 species